GAAAGUUUUUCGGUGUAGGAUGAGGCUAUAUUGUAUCAGCUAGUUGGUGAGGUAAUGGCUCACCAAGGCUAUGACGCAUAACUGGUCUGAGAGGAUGAUCAGUCACACUGGAACUGAGACACGGUCCAGACUCCUACGGGAGGCAGCAGUAGGGAAUAUUGCUCAAUGGGGGAAACCCUGAAGCACCAACGCCGCGUGGAGGAUGACACUUUUCGGAGCGUAAACUCCUUUUGUUAGGGAAGAACAAUGACGGUACCUAACGAAUAAGCACCGGCUAACUCCGUGCCAGCAGCCGCGGUAAUACGGAGGGUGCAAGCGUUACUCGGAAUCACUGGGCGUAAAGGACGCGUAGGCGGAUUAUCAAGUCUCUUGUGAAAUCCUAUGGCUUAACCAUAGAACUGCUUGGGAAACUGAUAAUCUAGAGUGAGGGAGAGGCAGAUGGAAUUGGUGGUGUAGGGGUAAAAUCCGUAGAGAUCACCAGGAAUACCCAUUGCGAAGGCGAUCUGCUGGAACUCAACUGACGCUAAUGCGUGAAAGCGUGGGGAGCAAACAGGAUUAGAUACCCUGGUAGUCCACGCCCUAAACGAUGUAUACUAGUUGUUGCUAAGCUAGUCUUGGCAGUAAUGCACCUAACGGAUUAAGUAUACCGCCUGGGGAGUACGGUCGCAAGAUUAAAACUCAAAGGAAUAGACGGGGACCCGCACAAGCGGUGGAGCAUGUGGUUUAAUUCGAAGAUACGCGAAGAACCUUACCCGGACUUGAUAUCUAACAAAUCAUCUAGAGAUAGAAGAGUGUCUGCUUGCAGAAAUGUUAAGACAGGUGCUGCACGGCUGUCGUCAGCUCGUGUCGUGAGAUGUUGGGUUAAGUCCCGCAACGAGCGCAACCCACGUCAUUAGUUGCUAACAGUUCGGCUGAGCACUCUAAUGAGACUGCCUUCGUAAGGAGGAGGAAGGUGUGGACGACGUCAAGUCAUCAUGGCCCUUAUGUCCGGGGCGACACACGUGCUACAAUGGCAUAUACAAUGAGAAGCAAUAUCGCGAGAUGG
rnacentral:rRNA from 1 species